rnacentral:sRNA from 1 species
CAAGCUCACAAGAGAAAGAAAUCCCUAAGGCAUGUAGAAUUUGGACUCAAUCAUGUUGGCCUUUAACGUGGCUAGAGCAAUGGAAUGGGCACUUUGGGAGCGGUGGAAUUCAAGAUGCUCUGGCUGAAGAUUCAGAAGUAUCUGGUAACUCUUCUCUUCCUUCUGGGCAUCCUCUCCUCUGUUCUAAUCCUCCCUUACACUCAUUCCUGGUCCAUUGUAGUCUGACCACAUCCUUAAUCAUGGUCAAAACUAUUGAGACCUGGGCACAUUGGUCACAAAGGAACAAGAAGGCAAUGAGAGACUCUCAUGCCAACCACUGCCCUGAAAGCCCUGCUGUUCAGACAGCAAAGGGGCCAGCACUGGCCAAGCUCUUAUGCUUGCUCUGAAACCUUCUUGGGAGGAGUCAAUAGGGUCUCUUUUUGAAUGUGUCCCUGGCCUUUUGAGGAAGUAGUGCAGUGGAGGGAGAUGGUUCUGGCAGGGGCCGUGAAUGGUUGUUUUCUACUUGGGAUUUCUUUCCUGCUUCAGGAGAUCUAUCAGGAAAUUGAUUAUAACCACUCGGGCACCAUCGAUGCCCACGAGAUGAGGACAGCCCUCAGGAAGGCAGGUUUCACCCUCAACAGCCAGGUGCAGCAGACCAUUGCCCUGCGGUAUGCGUGCAGCAAGCUCGGCAUCAACUUUGACAGCUUCGUGGCUUGUAUGAUCCGCCUGGAGACCCUCUUCAAACUAUUCAGCCUUCUGGACAAAGACAAGGAUGGCAUGGUGCAGCUCUCUCUGGCUGAGUGGCUGUGCUGCGUGUUGGUCUGACCCGGGGUUUCGGACAUCAGUGACACUCCCUGCCCCACUGCUUGCCUCUUGUCACCCCUUCUCUACAAUUUUGUGAACAUUUAUGCUCCAGUGGCAUUCACUGGUUGUUCAUACCUUUCUUGCCCUGGGUCUCUUUCAGCAGCACUGAGCUAUGAGCUAUAUAAGCCGACCCGGUGGGCCCAGUGGAGGGAAAGCAAUCAAUUAAAGUUGUGAGCCAGAA